rnacentral:rRNA from 1 species
UGUUGGGGUAACGGCCCAACAAGCCAUUAAUCGGUACGGGUUGUGGGAGCAAGAGCCCGGAGAUGGAUUCUGAGACAUGAAUCCAGGCCCUACGGGGCGCAGUAGGCGCGAAAACUUUACAAUGCGAGCAAUCGUGAUAAGGAAACCCUGAGUGCCUGUCAAUGCAGGCUGUUCUGGUGUCUAACACACACCAGGAGAAAGGGCGGGGCAAGACCGGUGCCAGCCGCCGCGGUAAUACCGGCUGCUCGAGUGAUAGCCGCUUUUACUGGGCUUAAAGCGUUCGUAGCUUGGUCGUUAAGUCUCUGGGGAAAUCUUUUGGCUUAACCAAAAGGCGUCUCAGGGAAACUGGCGAUCUUGGAACCGGGAGAGGUAAGACGUACUUCGGGGGUAGGAGUGAAAUCUUGUAAUCCCCGAGGGACGACCGAUGGCGAAGGCAUCUUACCAGAACGGCUUCGACAGUGAGGGACGAAAGCUGGGGGAGCAAACCGGAUUAGAU